rnacentral:rRNA from 1 species
UACAGGGGGUGCAAACGUUGCUCGGAAUUAUUGGGCGUAAAGCGCGCGUAGGCGGCUACUUAAGUCGGAUGUGAAAGCCCUUGGCUCAACUGAGGAAGUGCACCCGAAACUGAGUGGCUAGAGUACGAAAGAGGGUCGCGGAAUUCCCGGUGUAGAGGUGAAAUUCGUAGAUAUUGGGAGGAACACCAGUGGCGAAGGCGGCUCACUGGACCGGUACUGACGCUGAUGCGCGAAAGCGUGGGGAGCAAACGGG